rnacentral:rRNA from 1 species
GAUGAACGCUGGCGGCGUGCCUAAUACAUGCAAGUCGAGCGAACGGACGAGAAGCUUGCUUCUCUGAUGUUAGCGGCGGACGGGUGAGUAACAAGUGGAUAACCUACCUAUAAGACUGGGAUAACUUCGGGAAACCGUAGCUAAUACCGGAUAAUAUUUGAACCGCAUGGUUCAAAAGUGAAAGACGGUCUUGCUGUCACUUAUAGAUGGAUCCGCGCUGCAUUAGCUAGCUGGUAAGGUAACGGCUUACCAAGGCAACGAUGCAUAGCCGACCUGAGAGGGUGAUCGGCCACACUGGAACUGAGACACGGUCCAGACUCCUACGGGAGGCAGCAGUAGGGAAUCUUCCGCAAUGGGCGAAAGCCUGACGGAGCAACGCCGCGUGAGUGAUGAAGGUCUUCGGAUCGUAAAACUCUGUUAUUAGGGAAGAACAUAUGUGUAAGUAACUGUGCACAUCUUGACGGUACCUAAUCAGAAAGCCACGGCUAACUACGUG